GAACUGAUGAUCGAAGCUGAGCUUGGAUUAUUGGAUUAGAAGACCUUCGUCUUCUUCUUUGUUUUUGUUAAUCUGUUAUUUAGAUUUCAGUUAUCAUUUAAGCUGUUUUGUAUUGAUUAUCACAUUAUUCUCGUGUUAAUUUGCAAAGCAAUUAAUUAUUCUGUAAUUUUAAUGUACUCAGAUUCAAUUAUUAAUAUCUCGACUAAAUAUUCUAGACAAUUUAGUUGGGGUGUUACAAUUGGUAUCAGAGCAGGUCGAUUCAGUAUCGGACCUUGCCAUGAGUCAUUAGAAU
rnacentral:lncRNA from 1 species